CAACCCUCGAGCCCGACUCUUUUGAGGACGGCUCGGCGUUGGGGGACGGCAGACUCCCCCCGGCAUCUCGCCGGGGACGCCGCCCCCGAAAUCUAGUGGCGGCCCUCCGAGGCGACCUCUGCGUAGUAACUUGUUCUCGCACCGGAAAGCUCAGAGCGGCCACGCCGUAAAACCCCAACUUUUUUCAGG
rnacentral:misc_RNA from 1 species